AUAUUUUCAUAUUUCCUUGAAUUCUGUGCAGAGAGUCUCGCAAUAAAGUCGUAAGAAGUCUUGGUCGUAAGGUUCGACGCUGGGCAAAAUCGUAGAUAUGGCUGAUUUUCGAGUCGCCGGGGCGAAAAUUGGACGUCGAAAAAUGAAUUUUGGUAUCAGGAGAAUAUGAUGAGUGAGGAGCCAGGGAAUCAGGAGACUAUACGCAAACGAAUCGUUUGAAAAUCAACGGUAUGGCACUGCGAGUAUAUCACGUUAUUUUGCGAAUGCUCAACCUCUACUCUAACGAUUGUAUGACAGCUCCCAGACGUUUGCACCAGAUGAGAUUCCUAUGCGUGCUGACACUCAAUUAUACAAUUAGUAAAGUGAAUACUACUGGAAGUAAAUGUCACCAUUUCGGAGUAGAAGAAUCAAAGUGCAUCCUCAAGAGCAGAGGGGCUAGACUGACGGCUAGAACAUUGGAUUCGAUCUAUAGAAGAGUCUUAUCAUACUUGGUUGUUUUUUGAAAUGAAUACUGAAAGCGUUGACCACUGCUAUUCGUUCCAUUCUUCCAGAUCGAACUGUAUUUGUCCCAGGGAAGAAUGCAAAGCUGAAACGACAGAGUGCUUGCGGUAUACGUCAGAUGUUAUUAUUACACCCCUGUGUACCUUGGCGGAAAGUCACUGCCAGUGUGUCGCUGGGCAAGGUCCAGCUGCCCACCACAAGCAUGUUGUUGCUCUGCUUCUAGAAACGACACAGAGAGUUUGAGAAAGAGAAAUCAUACUUCCUAGUACAUGUAUCAUUUCAAGAACUGCAAACAUUCCACAACCCAUGGAUAUGAAAUGCAAAUCAGCUGGAGACUUGGAGACCUACACUAAAAAUCUGUGCUUUCAUCUCAGAUUGUGAGAAAAUUCCAAGGCUAUAGGCUUACUGUUUGUUUCGGCAAAAACGUGGAGUAUCCCUCAGAAUAAUUCCUGGACGCUUUUUCUACGUAAAAAAGCGUAUCGAACAAGACGCCGUCAAUGAAAUUGAGCUGGCAUUCGGAUUCCUGAGAUCAAAAUACAUGAGGAUAGCGUGAGAAACCCUUCAAAAA